rnacentral:lncRNA from 1 species
CUUGUUCUCGUUUAUACGUUUUAAUUCAUUUUAAUUCAUCUUUUAAUCAUCUUUAAACAUAGUGCAUGUUGACCUUUUUCAUCUAUUAUUCAAAAAAAGAUCAAAAAGAUUAAACAUCGAGUACUAACACAAGAAUAAAAUCAAUUUCUUUUCAAAAAAAUCAAAAAAAUAAAAUGAUCCAACAUCGAGUAUUUUCAAUAUAAACGAAUCCAUCCAUCUUCUAUUCAUCCAUUUCUAUCUAUUCCAUUUCUUUCAAACUAUGUCAUUCAAAUCUU